rnacentral:tRNA from 1 species
GCCCACGUAGCUCAGUUGGUAGAGCAAGGCUUUCGUAAAGCUUAGGUCGGAGGUUCGACUCCUCUCGUGGGCUCCA